rnacentral:sRNA from 3 species
UAUUCUGCCCCACGGGGAAGGAUGAGAAGCUUCGACUAAGGUUCGACUCGAGCGAAGUGAGAGAACGUUGCCGCAGGCAACGGCCCGAAGGCGAGGCGCUUUAGCGCCGAGUAAUCCUUCCCCCACCACUG